rnacentral:rRNA from 1 species
GACGUGGUAGCCUGCGAAAAGCUUUGGGGAGUCGGCAAACAGACUGUGAUCCAGAGAUCUCUGAAUGGGGGAACCCAGCCAGCAUAAGCUGGUUAUCUUGUACUGAAUACAUAGGUGCAAGAGGCGAACCAGGGGAACUGAAACAUCUAAGUACCCUGAGGAAAAGAAAUCAACCGAGAUUCCCUUAGUAGUGGCGAGCGAACGGGGACCAGCCCUUAAGCUGGUUUGAGAUUAGUGGAACGCUCUGGAAAGUGCGGCCAUAGUGGGUGAUAGCCCCGUACACGAAAAUCUCUUGCCAGUGAAAUCGAGUAGGACGGAGCACGAGA